ACACGGAGGGUACAUUUCUGAAUCAUGAUAGGUCCAUAAAAACAGGCAUAGACAUUCUUAAAAUGGAAGUGCAUGUUUUAUUUGAACUCUGAACAGAAAAUGUUCCAGUCGUACCAGAAACAAUCACAAGAAAGAAAUCUUUACACUUCUGCAUCUCUUUCUGUCUGACAAACAAACAAACACAUCCAAACAAACCAAACCAAAGAACAAAGAGAGAACUGUUUCUCAGCAGCGGUUCUCAAAGGGCUUUUGUAUGAGGACAUCCAAUUCAUUACUGCAGUUAUCAUACAAAAUUGAAACAAAAAUGUCUUGAUGUGAACUAUUAAAAUAAACUUGGGGUAAUUCAGAGCACCAAACAGAUUGAAUGUGGACACAAACCAUCUUCAUCCACAGAACGAUAAAUGUUUUAUCUGCUGUAUUUAAUAUUGACUUGCUUUCUUAUUUCACCUCAUGUAGUUUUCAUAGAUCUUCACUUUUUUGAGGUUUUUGAGAUUUGACUGACUAGCUUCUCCCAUGUAACAGAAGUUUAAACGCAGACAUCAAUAUCAAAAGAUUUAAAAAUAAUAUUCUUGGCAAGUUAUGCUGUUUAAUUUGUCCGUCUAAACUAAUUGUCAUGGUUAGUUGAAUUGUUUUUCUUUCCUCUGCUGUCCACAUCAACAGACCAGUUAAGGACCACUGGUUAAAUGAGAGAAGAUUUAUUUAACAAUAGAAACCUCUGAUGUUUUUUUAAAUCUUCAGUUCUUCUAGAAACGUUAUGAUGUUGCUUUAUAAAACACCAACAUCAAUCAAACAGGAAUGUGCAGAUCAUUUUACUUCAACAUUUCUCUCUUCUUUAAAACACAAAAUGAGGAUAUAAAAGUGAUAAUUGUGAUUAACCUGAGUCAUAGCAGAAUAAACAGAUGACAAAACCACAAACUCACAGAAUACAAAAUCAAGUUGAUCUGCUGGACCAAAAAAAUAAUAAUCUGUGUACCUGUUUACAAACAAUCAUCUCUAAUAAUAAAUAAACAAACAAACACAUGAGAAUCCGCCAAACUCUGCGCGUGCAGGCCAAUCAGAGAAGAGCAGUGAGCUGUCAAUCAUUUAAAAUAAUAGAUUAGUAGGUGUGGCCUGGAAUAAAGUGGAACCUGCUGAUGGUCAAACAUUCUGGAUUUAUGUAUUUUUUAAAAGUGGGUGUGUCCAUACAGCUGCGCUCAAUAGAUGAGGGUUCCUCUGAUGAGGGCGGAGCUUCUGUGCAGAUCAAAAACUUCAACUCCCUCAUGAGUCCUGAAUAAUGUUUAUGUAAAUAAGAGAAAUGUAUCUGUCUGUAGAGAUCAGAGUUCAGCUUCAGUGUUUCUGCUCUGUCACAUCAUCUCUGCUCUCUGUAUGUGUCGAGGGCACCGAUUGGACAACUGGCAGUGCACCUGAACCUGCAGGAACGCCCCCUGAUGCCACACCCAUCACAACUGAUGACCUACAGCAGAGGCCAAAGAAAGCUACAGUCGCGAGAUCUUUCAGGAUGGGCAUCUCCACGGUACAGUCACGGCCGUCCAACAGAGCCACCAGAGGACGAGGAUGAAGAGAACCGUUCAUGAUCUGAGGUCUGAUACCUGAACACACACGACAGCAGGAGGUGUGAGGUGACAGAAUAAAGCAGAGAGGAGUAAAGACUGAUACUUGUGUCAGGAGAACCCAUUGUGGACACGAUGACCGGUGGUCCUGUUCGACGGGUCAACUUGU